UAGGCAGAAAGCAAGAUAGAAGCUUCCUCAGCUUUUAGAUCGACAAUCGACAGCUGAGAGACUAUUUUUUGCUAUGGUUGACUAAAUAUGGUCAGGGAAGAGAGAGGCACAAGAGAGCCUGUUUGCCUGGGAGUGCAUGUUUCAAAUGCUUAGCUGCCUAUAAAGCUGUAACAGUUUAGCCUGUGGUCACUGAGGGAAGAAUAUAAGUUGGUCUCUGUAGUGACCAUGUGGAAGUCCUGACCUCGCUUGCAGACUUGACCUCUGGAUAUGACAAGGUGAGGCUCUGUAUUCACUGAUACAUCCCCUUAACUUCACCGAGCUCAUGAAAAGAAGUGCUGAAUCAGCGAAUCGAGUGAGGAACAAGAUGAGAUGGCUGCGGCUGCUGUGACUCUGUAGGUCAUUGCCUCUCUUCCUGCUGCAAAUGCUGCACAACACUAGGCUUACAGGCCCUAGAAGCAAACUCUCCCCUACCCCUCCCCCAAAAGAAAAGAAGAAACUUGUUCUGAAGACUAUGAAGAAAUACCACGCUGAUCUUAGCAAUUUCUGAAAAACUCCACUAAUUCUAUGAAUCUCUUGCAAAAAGAACCAAAUCAGGACAAAGUUCAACAGAUAACUGGUCAAAUGUGUAAGAAUGUCUAUGUCACCGAGAACAAGGAACCAUAAAUGGUAUCAAUGCCAUGACCAGGUAAAUUUUUUAUAAAGUUUAGUCUUUGAUAAAUUGGUCUCUACAAAUGAUCUACCAGUGAUCUACAUCAGUAAGCUGAAUGUUUUACUAACAAAUGAGAAAAUAAAAUACUUUGUUUUUACAGCUAACAACUUAGUAAUACCUACUCAGAGUACAUACUUCUUUAUGUACCCAUAUGAACAUACAAUGCUAUGGAAUGUAAAGAAGUAUGUAUUUUUGGUAGGUAAUAAAGCAUCAAGAGAGAACUAAACUGCAGCUAAAAGAAGCCACUGCUUCUUUCUACAUGAAUGACCUUCAUAUGGUAAAUUAACCUACUAUCAAAUAAAUGACCUUUGGCAAUACUAACACCAAAAACAAAUGUACCUACUACAGAGAGAUGGAAACUAACUAUACCUAAGAGUUAAUAUUUUGUGAAGGAAAAAUUUUACUUUGGUAGAUUUCAAAUUCUCAUGGAACUCCUCUCAAAACGCUUAACUUUAAAACAUUCUUCAUUUUAGAUUUUUAAAUUAAACACUUACAUGACAACGUCUGACUACAAAAGGGAACUAGUAUUACUAAUACAACAGAAUACUAAUACAACAGAAUAAGGGAAAACACAUGACCUAUUUUCUGUCUCCACAAUUUGAUGUUAAUUUAUCACAUUCAGAGGGCUGACUGAUUUGUUAUGAAAAUUAAUAUACAACAAAAGCUGACUUCACUCACAUUUUAACAAAUAUUUUUCAGAUUUUUAUAUAUUUGUCAUCUAUUCAUAUUAGAGAAUUUCCUAAAGCAAAAUUUUUGGUGUUUUAGGUUUUGUAACUGGACACCUACAGACAUAUUCAACAUCCAAAAAGACUAUCUUUUAAGUAAUUGUACAUAAAAAAUAAAAGUGGCCCUUGUUCUCAGGUUUAUCAGAUUCUUAAUCCAAUCUUUGCUUUAAAUGCUGUUAAUACUUAAAAUUAAUUAAAACUUUUAAACAGGAAAAAUGACAAAAUUCUGGAACACAGUUAUAAGUUAAUAGGGUAUAUUGGUAAAAAAUUGUCAAAUAUUUAGAAAGAGUUAUCUUAUUAUCUAUAUUAUCUUUGAAUUUUCUUUUUCCAAACGGAUCAAGUAAGAUCAAAACACUGUAGUAAAGAACUAAUUUAUACAGAUAGAGUAACCACUUUUAUUGGUACUAUGCAAUAAUUCAUUUUUAAUAAACAUAACAGAUCACUAUAUACAGCCUGUUAAAGAUUCCAAAAUAUGUUUUCUAUUUUAUGUGGUUUACUUUGCAUAUUUAUUAAAAUCACAAAUAAUUAAACUCAUAGCAAUAAUAAGUGAUACUGCUUUUAAGCAAUUAAAACAUGACAAAGUUAGAGAAACAAAGGAAAAAAAUUCAUACAUACUAACCUUUUCUUACUAAAAGUUAUUUCAACUGGAAUAUUUAUACACAUAAAGAAAACAUAAUAUUUUAAAUUUCUUAUGUUAGAAAUCGAAAUAUAGGCGACUUAGUUUAACUAUAAUUUUUUAAUAAGACAGUUAUAGAAAGAUGUUUAUUUUUAUUUUAUCAGCAGAUUACAAGGAUAGAUGUAUGUCGCUGCAUGUUUACUGGAAAGUAUAAAAAGUGCAUGAUUAAGAAUCUUCUUGUUAUAUUAAGAGUAUAUAAUCCUAACAAAAUAAAAUAGCAGGCUAUUCAUUUAAAAAGUAAAAUUACACAGUAAGUCUCAUGCUUACAAGUGUAACUUAACGUAUCUAAGAGCAUUUUCAAUCACUCUAAAAUGUCACAUCCAUCACUUAGAUCAGCUGUUCAUUUUUAACUGAGUACAUGUUAAACUCUGGGCAUCUGCUGACACUGGUGUAACUCAAACAUUUCAACUGUCUCCCUGACAGGGAUAACAGAUGCUGACAUUAUCAAAUGCUGUACUAUUUUUUUCACCAUGGCCUCUCCUUGCCCUGAUAUGGCCAGUAAAUGAAACUGAACUGCCAUCCAAAAGCACACUUGAGCAACUGGAUCUGCUAAACAGCUUCCAUAUAACUAGUAAAAAUAGAAGCCAGUGUUGUUGCUAUCUUCAGUACUUAAGUUCAGGCCAUUUAACACCUGUUUCACUUCUAUUAGAAUAAAUGACAGAAAGAAUUGCAGUUACAUUAAUUUUACCAAGAGCAUGAUACUUACUAACCAACAGAUGCAGAAUGUACUGAAUUAAGAAAAGUUUCCAUAUUGCCUGAAUUAGUGUUGACCCAGUUUAAUUCCAAAUAGUAAGAAGAAGCAUAUUUCAUUACUCUUUAUAUUUUACUGUAAGGACAUACCUUAAGACAAACAAACUUUUUAUACAAGUAUUUCAGAAGACAUCCCUUCCCUGAUACUGAAAUCAAUAGAUACAGAUCAGGAAAAUCUGUACAGAUUUUUAAAGUAUUAGUCAUAUGGUAGAUUUUAAUACUCAGAUUUAUGGAUUAUAAGUAACCAUCACAAAUCAGUUUUAUUAAAUUGUUAAUGAAAAAUAACUAGAGAAACUGCACCCGAAACUACAGAGGAUUUAGUCAAAGAAACAGACCUUUAGAAGGUCUUAAUAGACCAAAGACUUAUAGCCUUCCAUAGCAAAAACAAAGAAAAACAACAAGGCAAGCACAGUUCAUUUCAACACAAGUCCAAGCAAUUCACUGAAUACACAUGUGAACUAUUUAUAAAGCAAAGGGCAGUGGUACUUUCUUAAGGCCACUUAUAUUCCUCCACCCCAUGUCAACAACUUGCUAUUCAUCCUCAACUAUAACACACACACACACAAAAAGCAAUGGUGGUAGAAAUGUGUUAUUAGCAGUACUCUUCAUCAACCCAUUAGCUUAACCACUGAAGUCAUCUGGUUUGCUGCCUAGUAAUAGAAAACAUUACUCUGAAAUACAUAAGGUCUAUUUGUUCUUCUAAAUACUGUUGGUUUUACAAAAAGUUAUUGUCUACACUUAAGAAUUAGCAAAGAUGUUGAAAAUAAAGAUGUACAAUGAUAAUUCCUUAAUGCUUUAACAACAUGUUAAAAGGAAGACUUCUGAACCCAAAGAAUAGGAAAUCAUAGGAAAAGUGCCUUCAAAACAGAAAUUUCACAUUCAUUGACUGAAGCACUGGUAGCAAGAAUUUCUAAGGUCCAGAACUAUAAUUUCACAAAUGAAAAGCAUUUAACUGUUUUGGAUUCCAAACUAACAGCACUACAAUGCUUUGCUAGAGCUGGUAAAAUGGAACCAAAUCGCCUCUUCAAUGGAUUUGGUCCCCUUCAACCAGCUGUAGCUAUGCAUUGAUUACUACAGGACAGCCAACAUUUUCAUUCAUGAAUGUCAAUCACAUAUCAACUAAUUUCAACUUACUUAAAUUAUUCAGAAUGUGGUUAACAUAAAAUAAUUUGUUAUUAUUCUACUUAGAAGAGUUCUAGGGGUUAAAGUUGUUUACAAAAAGCUUUAUGAACCAUGUGUGUAAGACUUAAGGGUUUCAAAUAAAAUAAUUUUGCUGA